rnacentral:rRNA from 1 species
UGGGGGAUAUUGCACAAUGGGCGAAAGCCUGAUGCAGCGACGCCGCGUGGGGGAUGAAGGCCUUCGGGUUGUAAACUUCUUUUGCGCUGAACAAGGCAUGCUAAUGGGUGUGUUGAGUGUAGGGGUUGAUUAGCGCCGGCUAACUACGUGCCAGCAGCCGCGGUAAUACGUAGGGCGCGAGCGUUGUCCGGAAUUAUUGGGCGUAAAGGGCUUGUAGGUGGCUGGUUGCGUCUGUCGUGAAAGCUCCUGGCUUAACUGUGGGUUUGCGGUGGGUACGGGCUGGCUUGAGUGCAGUAGGGGAGGCUGGAAUUCCUGGUGUAGCGGUGGAAUGCGCAGAUAUCAGGAGGAAUACCGGUGGCGAAGGCGGGUCUCUGGGCUGUUACUGACACUGAGGAGCGAAAGCAUGGGGAGCGACCAGG